GAUUUGAUUUAAGGUUUAAUUAGGGUUUGAUUUAGGUUAGGACUUGGUUAGAUAUUUUUAGAAUUUGAUUAGGAUUUGAUUAAGAUUUGAUUAGAGUUUUUUUAGAAUUUGGUUAUGGCUUAUUUAGGAUUUGUCUAAGAUUUAAUUAGGAUUUAUUUAAGAUUUGUCUAGGAUUUGAUUAGGACUUAUUUAGGAUUUUUUUAGAAUUUGACUAAGAUUUAUUUAGGAUUUGAUUAGGAUUUGGUUAAGAUUUAUUUAGGAUUUGAUUAGAAUUUGGUUAGGAUUUAUUUAAGAUUUGAUUAAGAUUUGAUUAGAAUUUGGUUAGGAUUUAUUUAAGAUUUGAUUAGGAUUCGAUUAGGAUUUGACUAGGAUUCGAUUAGGAUUUGAUUAGGAAUUAUUUAAGAUUUGGUUAGGAUUUGAUUAAGAUUUGAGUAGAAUUUGAUUAGAAUUUGUCUAAGAUUUGGUUAAGAAUUAUUUAGAAUUUGAUUAGGAUUCAAUUAGAGCUUAUUUAAGAAUCGACUAGGAUUUGAUAAAGAUUUGAUUAAGAUUUGAUUAAGAUUUAACUAAGAUUUGACUAAGUUUUGACUAGAAUUUAAUUAAGGUUUUUAUUUUAAUUUUUUAUUAAUAUUUUUAUUUU
rnacentral:lncRNA from 1 species